CUACGUGCCAGCAGCCGCGGUAAUACGGAGGAUGCGAGCGUUAUCCGGAAUCAUUGGGUUUAAAGGGUCCGUAGGCGGGCUGAUAAGUCAGAGGUGAAAGCGCUUAGCUCAACUAAGCAACUGCCUUUGAAACUGUUAGUCUUGAAUGAUUGUGAAGUAGUUGGAAUGUGUAGUGUAGCGGUGAAAUGCUUAGAUAUUACACAGAACACCGAUAGCGAAGGCAUAUUACUAACAAUUUAUUGACGCUGAUGGACGAAAGCGUGGGGAGCGAACAGGAUUAGAUACCCUGGUAGUCCACGCUGUAAACGAUGGAUACUAGCUGUUUGGAGCAAUCUGAGUGGCUAAGCGAAAGUGAUAAGUAUCCCACCUGGGGAGUACGCACGCAAGUGUGAAACUCAAAGGAAUUGACGGGGGCCCGCACAAGCGGUGGAGCAUGUGGUUUAAUUCGACGCAACGCGAAGAACCUUACCAGGUCUUGACAUUGAUGGACAGAACUAGAGAUAG
rnacentral:rRNA from 1 species